GGUCGUAUGGCGCAGUGGUAGCGCACUGGCUCUUUGAGCUGGAGGUCCCAGAUUCGAUUACUGGUACGACCA
rfam:Gaeumannomyces graminis var. tritici R3-111a-1 unplaced genomic scaffold supercont2.216, whole genome shotgun sequence.